GACAGAGGCCUCAAGCGUUUAGGCGGAAUCACUGGGCUUAAAGCGCGUGUAGGCGGCCCGGCACGUCCGUCGCUGAAAUCCCCGGCUCACCGGGGAAGUGGCGUGGAGUACGACCGGGCUGGAGGGGGGUAGGGGAGCCGGAACGUUCCGGUGGAGCGGUGAAAUGCGUUGAGAUCGGAAGGAACGCCCGUGGCGAAAGCGGCGACCUGGACAAGUACUGACACUCAACUACGAAAGCGUGGGGAGUAAACAGG
rnacentral:rRNA from 1 species